rnacentral:rRNA from 1 species
AAGCUCGUAGUUGAAUCUUGGGCCUGGCUGGCCGGUCCGCCUCACCGCGUGUACUGGUCCGGCCGGGUCUUUCACUCUGCGGAACCACAUGCCCUUCAGUGGGUGUGGCGGGGAAGCAGGACUUUUACUUUGAAAAAAUUAGAGUGCUCUAAGCAGGCCAAUGCUCGAAUACAUUAGCAUGGAAUAAUAAAAUAGGACGCGCGGUUCUAUUUUGUUGGUUUCUAGGACCGCCGUAAUGAUGAAUAGGGACAGUCGGGGGCAUCAGUAUUCAGUUGUCAGAGGUGAAAUUCUUGGAUUUAUUGAAGACUAACUACUGCGAAAGCAUUUGCCAAGGAUGUUUUCAUUAAUCAGGAACGAAAGUUAGGGGAUCGAAGACGAUCAGAUACCGUCGUAGUCUUAACCAUAAACUAUGCCGAUUAGGGAUCGGACGGCGUUAUUUUUUGACCCGUUCGGCA